rnacentral:rRNA from 1 species
GAUGAACGCUAGCUACAGGCUUAACACAUGCAAGUCGAGGGACCGGCGCACGGGUGAGUAACACGUAUCCAACCUGCUCUUUACUCGGGGAUAGCCUUUCGAAAGAAAGAUUAAUACCCGAUAUAAAGUAUGGGGGUGCGUUCCAUUAGGUUGUUGGUGAGGUAACGGCCCACCAAGCCUUCGAUGGGUAGGGGUUCUGAGAGGAAUGUCCUCCAUAUUGGAACUUAGACACGGUCCAAACUCCUCCGUGGUGCAGCAGUGAGGAAUAUUGGUCAAUUGGCGUUAGCCUGAACCAGCCAAGUAGCGUGAAGGAUGAAGGCUUAUUGGUCGUAAACUUCUUUUAUAUAAGAAUAUGUAUUAUAUGAAUAAGGAUCGGCUAACUCCGUGCCAGCAGCCGCGGUAAUUC